rnacentral:piRNA from 1 species
UGGUGCAUGGACUGAAUGAUCAAUUU